UCCUUAUUAACAAAUAAUCCCAGAAUAAUGAAUGCAAAGUAUUGCCACAAAGACCCACUUUAUUUUGUCUGCAUAGAAAUAAUGUGAAUUCUUCAAAUCAUAUAAUUUAAUUAUUCUGAAAGGAAAUGGCAUUUUAAAAGCAGAUUUUUCUUUAGGAAAAAAAUGAUACAAAAAUAAUCUCAAAGUAUGAUGCUUAAAGUAAGAUUUUUCUAUGUUAUGUGGUUAUGUUAUAGAUAAUAUUUGCUGUAUUUUCUACCAUCCAUGAACUUUUAAGUGCGGUAUGAAAUGCCACAUUACACUUAUCUUACACACAGUACUGUCAAACCUCAAAUGUUUUCUUUCUUCAGAUACUUUUCCUUGUACAUGAAACUAGUAGACACUUUCUCUUUAUAUUUGCUGAUAGUGAAAGUUAUAUGCAAUAAAAUAUUUGGUGGUUGAAAGUAGUGUUCACCAGUUGGUUAAAAAAACCAUGAAAUGUAAACUGAAUUGUUAUCUCUUUAUCCUU
rnacentral:lncRNA from 1 species